ACCACGGAAUGGCCUUCGAUACUGGCAGGCUUGAGACCGGAAGAGGACAGCGGAACUGCGAGUGUAGAGGUGAAAUUCGUAGAUAUUCGCAAGAACACCAGUGGCGAAGGCGGCUGUCUGGUCCGGUUCUGACGCUGAGGCGCGAAAGCGUGGGGAGCAAACAGGAUUAGAUACCCUGGUAGUCAAGGGCG
rnacentral:rRNA from 1 species